rnacentral:misc_RNA from 1 species
UCUCCGUAGGUGAACCUGCGGAGGGAUCAUUACAGAGUUCUCGCCCUCGCGGGUAGAUCUCCCACACACUGUUAUCGUUACUGUGUUGCUUUGGCGGGCCGCCGGGCCCCGCUCGGCCGCCGGCUCCGGCUGGCGCGCGCCCGCCAGAGGCCCAGCAAACUCUGAAUGUUAGUGUCGUCUGAGUACUAUAUAAUAGUUAAAACUUUCAACAACGGAUCUCUUGGUUCUG